rnacentral:rRNA from 1 species
GCCAGACUCCUACGGGAGGCAGCAGUGGGGAAUAUUGCGCAAUGGGGGGAACCCUGACGCAGCAACGCCGCGUGCGGGAUGAAGGCCUUCGGGUUGUAAACCGCUUUCAGCAGGGAAGAGACAGACGGUACCUGCAGAAGAAGCCCCGGCUAACUACGUGCCAGCAGCCGCGGUAAUACGUAGGGGGCGAGCGUUAUCCGGAUUCAUUGGGCGUAAAGCGCGCGCAGGCGGACCGUUAAGCGGGACCUCUAAUCCUGGGGCUCAACCUCAGGCCGGGUCCCGAACUGGCGGUCUCGAGUGCGGUAGGGGAGGUCGGAAUUCCCGGUGUAGCGGUGGAAUGCGCAGAUAUCGGGAAGAACACCGAUGGCGAAGGCAGACCUCUGGGCCGACACUGACGCUGAGGCGCGAAAGCUAGGGGAGCGAACAGGAUUAGAUACCCGAGUA